AAGAAGCUACUUUGUGCGUAUUGUUAAUUAAGUUUUAACCUUUAAGCUGUAAUAGGGAGUUUUAUAUCGAAGCUGGAAUGUCAUGCCUCCAUUGCAGAGGACGGCAGGAACGUUUCUGCAAACACCCACUUUGAGGAGUGGUGGUUUAAAACUUUCUUACUUGCAUACGGCAAGAUGUAGCGAAAGC
rnacentral:other from 1 species